GCCUUCGUGGUGUAGUGGUCAGCACGCUCGACGUGGAACCGAGAGGUCCGCGGUUCGAUUCUCGGCGAAGGCU
rnacentral:tRNA from 1 species